rnacentral:misc_RNA from 1 species
CUUUCUUCUCCAAAAACUUAAGUAAGUUGUUCUGAUCUUCCUCAGAAACAUCAGCAUCAGCCAACUUCUUUUCCAAUAUAGUUCGUCGCUCCUUCCUCUCCUGUAGAUUCUUCAUUUGCUCCUUGUAAUGGUUCUCAAUAUACUGCUUGGCCGCAGCAACUUUCUGCUUGGUGGCAUUGGAAAGAGAUUCCUCAUCUUCUGGAGAUUUGGCCUCAUCUUUACCUUCAUCAAACGUAUCCUUCUUCCUAGAAGAAGUCCUCAGCUUGUCCCGUGGCUGUAACUUCUGUAACCAACUCCUCGCCGAAUCCAUUUGAAACCUCGAAACUAACCACCCUCCUCAGACACUAUCAUCCACCAUAGCCU